AACCUUGGCAAUAGGCAAAGAGACACCUUGUUGCUGGUAUUGUUCUUAUAUCAGUCAGAGGUAGAGCAGAUGAACGUCCUUUGUUCAUCCUAGCUUGAUGCCUGGCUUGGUGAACAAAGCUGUUUUAUGCCUAGGAAACACAA